rnacentral:misc_RNA from 1 species
UUUCCGUAGGUGAACCUGCGGAGGGAUCAUUACAGAGUUCAUGCCCUACCGGGUAGAUCUUCCACACUAUGUUGUUAGUACUUUGUUGCUUUUGCGGGCCGUUAGGCUUCGGGCAGGCUACCGGCUCCGGCUGGUAAGCGCCCGCCAGAGGAACUAAAACACGGAAUGUUAGUGUAGUCUGAGUACACUAUAAUAGUUAAAACUCUCAACAACGGAUCUCUUGGUUCUG